UACAGAGGUGGCAAGCGUUGUUCGGAAUUACUGGGCGUAAAGGGCGCGUAGGCGGCCUUCUAAGUCAGACGUGAAAUCCCCCGGCUUAACCUGGGAACUGCGUCUGAUACUGGAGGGCUUGAGUGCGGGAGAGGGAUGUGGAAUUCCAGGUGUAGAGGUGAAAUUCGUAGAUAUUCGCAAGAACACCAGUGGCGAAGGCGGCUCACUGGCCCGGUACUGACGCUGAGGUGCGAAAGCGUGGGGAGCAAACAGG
rnacentral:rRNA from 1 species